GGAGUUAGCCGGUGCUUCUUCUGUGAGUGAUGUCCUUCCUGCCGGCUAUUAACCCGCAGGCCUUCUUCCUCACUGAAAGUGCUUUACAACCCGAAGGCCUUCUUCACACACGCGGCAUGGCUGGAUCAGGGUUGCCCCCAUUGUCCAAUAUUCCCCACUGCUGCCUCCCGUAGGAGUCUGGGCCGUGUCUCAGUCCCAGUGUGGCUGAUCAUCCUCUCAGACCAGCUACGGAUCGUCGCCUUGGUGAGCCGUUACCUCACCAACCAGCUAAUCCGACAUAGGCUCAUCCGAUAGCGCGAGGCCCGAAGGUCCCCCGCUUUCCCCCGUAGGGCGUAUGCGGUAUUAGCCUGGGUUUCCCCAGGUUAUCCCCCACUACCGGGCAGAUUCCUAUGCAUUACUCACCCGUCCGCCGCUCGCCACCAGGGAGCAAGCUCCCCGUGCUGCCGCUCGACUUGCAUGUGUUAGGCCUGCCGCCAGCGUUCAAUCUGAGCCAGAAUCAAACCCUGA
rnacentral:rRNA from 1 species